CCAACAAGUCGAGGGAAUAUAGAAUGGGGGUGCUACGACAUGCUACAAUACAUGGGGUUAAGCUCUGGCCACAUCGACAAUGAAUGAUUCUUUGUUCGCAUGGAUUUAAAAUAACAUUAUAACUUCGGGCGCUCCUUUGUCUUCGUCUUCGUCUUCGCCCCACGAUCCCUGUCUCUCAAGUGACGCCGCAAUAUCUUCCCGCUUGCAGUCUUUGGUAUAACAUCAAUGACCUCCACGCCGCCCCUCAACCACUUAUAACGCGCCUUAUGGUCCGAGACAUGCUUCUUAAUAUCGCGAAUGAAAAUGUGGUCAUCAACCGGUGCAUUAAUAGCCUUGACCACGUAUGCCUUUGGGACCUCCCCAGCAUCGUCAUCGAUAACGGCAAUAACAGCGGUGUCCGCAACGUAUGGAUGGCUCCUUAAUCCUAUCGACUAUGAAAACAUGAUCCUCUCCUUUGGCGCUCUUCCUUAAAACAGCCUCGUCUCCGGUCCGCAACCACCCGUUCUGGAAAGUCGCCCUAUUUGCUGCCUCGUUAUUGAGGUAUCCAAGCACAAUCGUCGGGCCCCGUAGGAGGAGUUCUCCUGGUGUAUCGUACUCUUCAAUAUCGUUUCCAUCAUCCGACACGAGGCGCGCUUCAAUUGAGGGAAGUAAGGAACCUGAUGAUCCGAAGAAGAUGUCAUGCGGGCUGGUGGCUGUUGCAACGGCUGUGGUUUCUGUAAGGCCUAUAAUGCAUUUGAUUUUCAGCCUUAGGUUAUAUGAACAAACAUAUGCGAAAGGGAAUCAUACCGUAGGCUUGGAGGAUAGACCACGAUGGCUGCAGCUUGCCCAGUUGCUCAGCAGUUUCCAGACCGAGAGGAGCUGCGCCAGUGAUUAUUGAGUGCACACUACCCAGAUCAUAUUUUUUCAUGAGUUCCUCAUUCUUCACCAUGGAAACAAUUACGGGAGGAACCUUCUCUCUGUCAAUACACGCUGCAGGCACAAUGGGCCGAAAGUGCACCAGAGCAUCUCAAUGCACAAGAACAGAGAACUUACCAGAUAUAAAACAUUUAUCCUAGACCUCUGUAUUACAGCCAAAAGUGUCUUGAGUUCAAAUUUAUGCAGCACGACCACACAUUCACCUCUAAACACCGCAGCGUGAAAAACAGAGAGGCCAAAUAUGUGACCCUGGGGCAAAAGGCCCAGGACAACGUUCUUAUGGUCUGGUGUCCGGGUGUGAUUCUCAAAACUCGUUAAUAAAAGCACCUCUGAAAUCAUAUUCCGAUGCGAAAUCAGUACUCCUUUCUACUGGAGCACGUUAGCAGCGUCCCAUAUAAAUAUUGCACGUGCCGCAGCGAAAAAUGUAUAAUUUCUUGGGGUAGUUUAUGACAUGCCGGCAAUCCACUCGUCCCACUCGAAAAGCAUAAGUAGGCGCAUUGACUCGCUCCUUGCCCCUUCUGCCACUUCAAAGCAUCCAGGUCGCAAAGCUUCGAGCCUUUCUCGAUCAGUCGGCUCAUGGUGGUAAACUCAGCCGGAGUACUUAAGCCAUUCAGCAGAUCCUGCGGCAUUUCCAAAAUAUACACUCGCGAGCGUGGUAUUCCGCAUUUGGAAGCUGCUUCGAGUGCUGUGGCUAGUAGCGGGAUGCAAGUAAAUAGCACUGACGAUUUAGAGGCGCGAAGUUGAUAUGCCAACUCAUCUACUGUGGAGGAGGCAUUGAUGAGUGUUGCUAUACCUGAUAGUUUAUGGAUAGCCCAUCCAAGUGGAAUAUAGUCAAUCUGUGUAUAUACAUCUCAGCUUAUGCUUCAUAAAAAAAAAAAUAUUACUGGCA
rnacentral:sRNA from 1 species